rnacentral:tmRNA from 1 species
GGGGCUGCAAGGUUUCUACAUUGUGAAAAAACAAAUAUAUGAAAGUAAAACGAGCUCAUUAUUAGAGCUUUUAGUUAAAUAAAUGCAGAAAAUAAUAUUAUUGCUUUUUCUCGAAAAUUAGCUGUUGCAUAAAUAGUCUCAAUUUUUGUAAUUCGAAGUGAUAGACUCUUAUACACUACGAAUAUUCUGUUAGAGUUGCUCUUAAUAAAAGAAAAGUAAAAAAAUACAAAUUCUUAUGUUUUUUACCUGAAUUGAUUCAAUUUAAGGUUAGUAUUUUUUGAUUUUUACAAUGGACGUGGGUUCAAGUCCCACCAGCUCCACCA